rnacentral:rRNA from 1 species
AUUAUACGGCGAAACUGCGAAUGGCUCAUUAUAUAAGUUAUCGUUUAUUUGAUAGUACCUUACUACUUGGAUAACCGUGGUAAUUCUAGAGCUAAUACAUGCUGAAAAUCCCGACUUACGGAGGGAUGUAUUUAUUAGAUUAAAAACCAAUGCCCUCUGGGCUCUCUGGUGAUUCAUGAUAACUUCUCGAAUCGCACGGCCUUGCGCCGGCGAUGGUUCAUUCAAAUUUCUUCCCUAUCAACUUUCGAUGUUUGGGUAGUGGCCAAACAUGGUUGCAACGGGUAACGGAGGGUUAGGGCUCGACCCCGGAGAAGGAGCCUGAGAAACGGCUACUACAUCCAAGGAAGGCAGCAGGCGCGCAAAUUACCCAAUCCCGACACGGGGAGGUAGUGACAAUAAAUACUGAUACAGGGCUCUUUUGGGUCUUGUAAUUGGAAUGAGUACAAUUUAAAUCCCUUAACGAGGAACAAUUGGAGGGCAAGUCUGGUGCCAGCAGCCGCGGUAAUUCCAGCUCCAAUAGCGUAUAUUAAAGUUGUUGUGGUUAAAAAGCUCGUAGUUGAACCUUGGGCCUGGCUGGCCGGUCCGCCUCACCGCGUGCACUGGUCCGGCCGGGCCUUUCCCUCUGCGGAACCCCAUGCCCUUCACUGGGCGUGGCGGGGAAACAGGACUUUUACUUUGAAAAAAUUAGAGUGCUCCAGGCAGGCCUAUGCUCGAAUACAUUAGCAUGGAAUAAUGAAAUAGGACGUGCGGUUCUAUUUUGUUGGUUUCUAGGACCGCCGUAAUGAUUAAUAGGGACAGUCGGGGGCAUCAGUAUUCAAUUGUCAGAGGUGAAAUUCUUGGAUUUAUUGAAGACUAACUACUGCGAAAGCAUUUGCCAAGGAUGUUUUCAUUAAUCAGGAACGAAAGUUAGGGGAUCGAAGACGAUCAGAUACCGUCGUAGUCUUAACCAUAAACUAUGCCGACUAGGGAUCGGACGAUGUUAUUAUUUGACUCGUUCGGCACCUUACGAGAAAUCAAAGUGCUUGGCUCCAGGGGAGUA